UAGGGAAUCUUCGGCAAUGGGCGAAAGUCUGACCGAGCAACGCCGCGUGAGUGAAGAAGGUUUUCGGAUCGUAAAACUCUGUUGGUAGAGAAGAACGUUGGUGAGAGUGGAAAGCUCAUCAAGUGACGGUAACUACCCAGAAAGGAACGGCUAAAUACGUGCCAG
rnacentral:rRNA from 1 species